UACGUAGGGUGCAAGCGUUGUCCGGAAUUAUUGGGCGUAAAGAGCUCGUAGGCGGCUUGUCGCGUCGGCUGUGAAAACCUGGGGCUCAACCCCGGGCCUGCAGCCGAUACGGGCAGACUAGAGUGUGGUAGGGGAGACUGGAAUUCCUGGUGUAGCGGUGAAAUGCGCAGAUAUCAGGAGGAACACCGAUGGCGAAGGCAGGUCUCUGGGCCGAUACUGACGCUGAGGAGCGAAAGCGUGGGGAGCGAACAGG
rnacentral:rRNA from 1 species